UACGUAGGGUGCAAGCGUUAAUCGGAAUUACUGGGCGUAAAGCGUACGCAGGCGGCUUUGCAAGACAGGUGUGAAAUCCCCGGGCCUAACCUGGGAACUGCAUUUGUGACUGCAUGGCUAGAGUUUGUCAGAGGGGGGUGGAAUUCCACGUGUAGCAGUGAAAUGCGUAGAUAUGUGGAGGAACACCGAUGGCGAAGGCAGCCCCCUGGGAUGUGACUGACGCUCAUGUACGAAAGCGUGGGGAGCAAACAGA
rnacentral:rRNA from 1 species